UACGUAGGGUGCAAGCGUUGUCCGGAAUUAUUGGGCGUAAAGAGCGCGCAGGCGGUCAAGUCAGUCGAAUGUGAAAGCCCCCGGCUCAACUGGGGAGGGUCAUUCGAUACUGCUCGACUUGAAGGCAGGAGAGGGAAGUGGAAUUCCCGGUGUAGUGGUGAAAUGCGUAGAUAUCGGGAGGAACACCAGUGGCGAAGGCGACUUUCUGGCCUGUUCUUGACGCUGAGGCGCGAAAGCUAGGGGAGCAAACGGG
rnacentral:rRNA from 1 species